GUAGAUUACUUGCCCGAUUUAAAUUAAGACACGCGAUCUAGAAACAGAAGUGCAGUUAUUUAUAUUCGUUGCUCGUGUAAACGACUCUGAGAAGACUGGACCUUUUUCAUUAACAAAAGCUCACGUUUCUGGAUUUCUUCAGUAAAAGAGGAGAAAAGGACUGUUUAAAAACACCCAAAUACAGUCGCAAAGUAAUAAUCAAGUCUGAAAGGAUAUAAAAUUCCGUACAAUUCAGACAGUGAAGUUGUAAUUGUUGAAUGUUAUUAACAUAAUUAAUAGCUGUUAUAUAUACUGCAUAUAUUUGACUGGAAAAAUAUUGAUAAGAAAUUCGGAUCUAUGUGACACUAAAGAUUGGCCGCUAAAGGAAUAGAAGAAAAUUCAAGACCAUUUUUCUUAUCAGAACUUGAACUGUAACUGUCUGUCGAUUUUUAUUACAAAUCAUAAGUUUUUACUUAUAUUUAAUCUGAAAACAAUUUGUACAUAUUAGAAGUUGAAAGGUCCUGAAAUUUUUGAAGCAUUUUUAAAUAAUUUACUAAAUACAUAGUAAAAAUAUACGUAACAUUUAUACGUAUGUAAAUGAUAAGCACAGCUCUAAAUACAACGAUUUUUUAUUAAAAUAGUUGAAUUAAUAAUUCGGAGAAACGUGAAAUGAAAAUCAAGAUUGAAGAUUAUUAAGAGACUUAAAGCAUUGUAAUUAAAAGAUAACAAGACAGCUGCCUUAAAGUUCAAACAAGUAAUGAUAUAAGCGAUAAAGGGAGAUGACAUCACUAUACACGACAGUCAAAUAGUAUUGUAUAUUAAAUGGUGUUGUUUGCAAGAAGCCUAGCAAAUAUGUCUGAUAUCAGAAAGGUAGAAAUCUGUAACUUAUAAGAAGUUAAUUCAACGGAAAAUCGUGCAGUGUAAUGACUGAAGUUUCAUGGACUAUACGAGAAGAAAACUUGAGAAAGUUUUCUUGAACGCUGUGAACUACGAUACGGUAUAAAGAGCAUCGGUUUGAUAUCAAAGAGAAAAAGUGGGAAACUAGUAAUAGACAUGAU